rnacentral:rRNA from 1 species
GUGCAAUGGCAUAAGCUAGCUUGACUGCGAGCGUGACGGCGCGAGCAGGUGCGAAAGCAGGUCAUAGUGAUCCGUGGUUCUGAAUGGAAGGGCCAUCGCUCAACGGAUAAAAGGUACUCCGGGGAUAACAGGCUGAUACCGCCCAAGAGUUCAUAUCGACGGCGGUGUUUGGCACCUCGAUGUCGGCUCAUCACAUCCUGGGGCUGAAGUAGGUCCCAAGGGUAUGGCUGUUCGCCAUUUAAAGUGGUACGCGAGCUGGGUUUAGAACGUCGUGAGACAGUUCGGUCCCUAUCUGCCGUGGGCGCUGGAGAAUUGAGGGGGGCUGCUUCUAGUACGAGAGGACCGGAGUGGACGCAUCACUGGUGUUCGGGUUGUCAUGCCAAUGGCACUGCCCGGUAGCUAAAUGCGGAAGAGAUAAGUGCUGAAAGCAUCUAAGCACGAAACUUGCCCCGAGAUGAGUUCUCCCUGAGACUUUAAGUCUCCUGAAGGAACGUUGAAGACGACGACGUUGAUAGGCCGGGUGUGUAAGCGCAGCGAUGCGUUGAGCUAACCGGUACUAAUGAACCGUGAGGCUUAACCUUAC